rnacentral:rRNA from 1 species
AUGACCAAGAAAAAAAGGAACUAUUAUCUGUUGUAUGGGGAGGAAGAGCCUACGAGAAGUAUACAAAACAAUAGUUGUAUUGGAAAGGUCAUGUUCUUGAUAGCUGUUGCUAGGCCGAGGUGGGAUAGUGAAGGAAAUGUGACCUUCUCUGGAAAAAUUGGAAUUUGGUCGUUUGUGAAAGAAAUUCCAGCUCAGAGGAGAAACGACAACAGGCCAAGAGGAACAUUGGAGACAAAGUCCAUAAAAGUCAACAGGCAAGUAAUGAGAGAGUUCAUGAUAGAGAACCUACUGCCAGCAAUACAAGCAUCUUGGCCUGAGAAUGAUGCUGGGCAAAUCAUCUACAUAUAA